GACGAACCGUGCGAACGUUAUUCGGAAUCACUGGGCUUAAAGCGCGUGUAGGCGGGACGGCACGUCGGUCGCUGAAAUCCCCCGGCUUAACCGGGGAACGGGCGCCGAUACGACCGGCCUGGAGGGACGUAGGGGGACCUGGAACUUCCGGUGGAGCGGUGAAAUGCGUUGAGAUCGGAAGGAACGCCCGUGGCGAAAGCGAGGUCCUGGACGUUUACUGACGCUGAGACGCGAAAGCCAGGGGAGCGAACGGG
rnacentral:rRNA from 1 species